AUGGAUUUGGGGCUGAUGUGGGUUUUCCUUGUUGCUCUUUUAAAAGGUGUCCAGUGUGAAGUGCAGCUUGUGGAGUCUGGGGGUGGCCUGAUACAGCCUGGAGGAUCCCUGAGACUCUCCUGUGCAGCCUCUGGAUUCACAUUCAGUGACUACUGGAUGAGCUGGUUCCAACAGGCUCCAGAGAAGGGGCUGGAGUGGGUUGGAGAUAUUAAUAAAGAUAGCAGUAAAAUCAACUAUGCACCAUCCCUGAAGGAUCGAUUCACCAUCUCCAGAGACAACGCCAAGAACACUCUGUACCUGCAAAUGAGCAGUGUGAGAUCUGAGGACACUGCCACUGUGCUAGAGACACAAUGA